GCCUCGGGCUCCUCAGCAGCCCUGGAUUUGGCCUGGAGCCAGGGGUCUGGGCAGAGGAGAGUGCUUGCUCGGGAGGAGGAGAGGCAGUUCAGGGCCUGGAGGGGACCGGGUGAGCUCAGCCUGGGGCUUCUCCGGGAGGCUGGCAGCUAGAGAGCCUUGUCUCCAGGGGCAGACAUGCACACAGGGAGAGAAAAGCUUGCGGUCAGCAGCCAUGCGAGCCCCGGGAGUGCCUCCUGUCCUCACCAGGGUGGUGGUGGGGGCACCAGAGGUCCCAGCCCCCAUGCUGCCCCACCCUGAUCCUCGGCCUGCGCUCGCUCCUUGCCCUGCCUGCCUGAGCUGCCCCUGCCUUGGCUCCCAGGGGGUUGGGCCCAUCUGCAUGGCUGCCCCCCACCUGCAAGCCCCCUCCUUUGGAGAAGCACCUGUCAGUGUGAGUCUAGGGCUGGGACCUCCCGGGGCUCCUUUUUGGGUUCCCUGGGCGAUUGCACCCCAAAUGUUGUUUCCUAGGUCUGAGGGAGAGAGGUUCUCUAUCUUGCUGCUCAGACGGCCCUGGCCAGGAACUGAGAACAGCCCCCCUGUCCCCCAGGGCUCUUGCCCUCCGCCGUUUCACCGGAGCACACAAGUGCUCACAAGCUCGGCAGUGACUAAAAGCCAGGAAGGGCCGGGGAGGCCGGGAGCCUUCUGGAUGGACCCCGUGUUGGUGACCCAGCUGUGCUGCACUCUCCCCAGCCUUGCUGAGAAGCCUCCACAGAGCCAGGACCAAAGCCUGUGACCCUGAAGCUCCCAGAAGAGUUCCGGGUCAGUCUUACAUCACUGACCUCCUAUCCGCCGGGGCUCUUGGUUACAAACUACGAGAGUAGAUGGUGGUGGAUAAUGGGACGGCUGACAGCAGGAGGGCUGGGGACACAGUAGAGCCACAUGAUACCUGGGGUCCCAGCCAGGGCGGGGCCGUCCCCCAGGUUUAGGACGACACUGCUGUUGCUGUGAAUAAUUUCUAAAGUGUCCCAGCGCCUUCAUCUGUCCCUCAAGAUUCAAAUCCCUGGACAGAAGCACAUGAGUGCCCAUUCCAGAGAGAGAGAGGGAGGCUCCACUUCUGAGGGGGAGCCCAGCUCCUCCUGCCCCCCACGCAUGCUCCACAUGCAUGGCCGGGGGCUUGGGUGUGUUGGGAGGCCAAGACCCUGACAGCCCAAUCAGCAAAAUCCCACGCGUGUGAGGCCAACCUUGAUCCACCCCCGCCCCCUCCUAACACACAUCCUGCCUGCCUGAGUGUGCUUCCUGGCUGCCUGACCUUUGGCCUCCGGUGCAGCCAUGUCCCUGGGCUCCAGCCAGUGGGAUUCGGGGGAUUUCCAAGCCUGGCCCUACUCCUGCCCCACCAUGAUCCUCGCCCUCUUUCUCUGUCUGAGUGGAGAAUUCGGAGGGGCCAAAGGCAGCACAGCAGAGCUGAGUCAAGUGGAGCCUGGAUCCCUGCAUGACCACGUGGACUGCUGCCCACCAUCUGGGAACAAUCCAGGUUGGCCUUCCCCUGACUGAGAAAUAAACUCUACUGUGUCAAGCUGGGGAGUAUGAGGCUCUAUUAGAGCAGCUAGAGUUACCCACCUCAACAAACACAACUCGUGAGCCAGCUAAGGGCACGAUCCACUUUAUGGAUGAAGAAUCUGGCAGUAUGACAAUUCAUGUCUUCAAAAAAUAUCACAUGGCUAAUUCGUGGGAAAGGUCAUACCUAACCCCAGUCUCAGGGUGCUGGAGUGUGGGCUGGAGAACACAGUGGGGAAUCCUGAAGCAGAGGCUGCAGGCACAGCCGACUGUCCCCAGAACUCACUUUGUCCCGGAUCUUGUCAGCAGGCCCUGGGAUUGCCCCAAAAAGAGCUGAGCCCAUGUCUUUGAAUUCAGAUCCUGUGCUCUGUUGACAAAAGGACUUCUUAUCAAAAAGUUAAGUUUUUUUGA
rnacentral:lncRNA from 1 species